UACGGAGGGUGCAAGCGUUAUCCGGAUUCACUGGGUUUAAAGGGUGCGUAGGUGGGUUGGUAAGUCAGUGGUGAAAUCUCCGGGCUAACCUGGAAACUGCCAUUGAUACUAUCAAUCUUGAAUACCUUGGAGGUGAGCGGAAUAUGUCAUGUAGCGGUGAAAUGCUUAGAUAUGACAUAGAACACCAAUUGCGAAGGCAGCUCACUACACGGUCAUUGACACUGAGGCACGAAAGCGUGGGGAUCAAACAGG
rnacentral:rRNA from 1 species